rnacentral:rRNA from 1 species
AGACCCGAAACCCGGUGAUCUAGCCAUGGGCAGGUUGAAGGUUGGGUAACACUAACUGGAGGACCGAACCGACUAAUGUUGAAAAAUUAGCGGAUGACCUGUGGCUGGGGGUGAAAGGCCAAUCAAACCGGGAGAUAGCUGGUUCUCCCCGAAAGCUAUUUAGGUAGCGCCUCGUGAAUUCAUCUCCGGGGGUAGAGCACUGUUUCGGCUAGGGGGCCAUCCCGGCUUACCAACCCGAUGCAAACUGCGAAUACCGGAGAAUGUUAUCACGGGAGACACACGGCGGGUGCUAACGUCCGUCGUGAAGAGGGAAACAACCCAGACCGCCAGCUAAGGUCCCAAAGUCAUGGUUAAGUGGGAAACGAUGUGGGAAGGCCCAGACAGCCAGGAUGUUGGCUUAGAAGCAGCCAUCAUUUAAAGAAAGCGUAAUAGCUCACUGGUCGAGUCGGCCUGCGCGGAAGAUGUAACGGGGCUAAACCAUGCACCGAAGCUGCGGCAGCGACGCUUAUGCGUUGUUGGGUAGGGGAGCGUUCUGUAAGCCUGUGAAGGUGUGUCGUGAGGCAU